AUUGAACGCUGGCGGCAGGCCUAACACAUGCAAGUCUAGCGAGCGGCGGACGGGUGAGUAAUGUAUGGGGAUCUGCCUGAUGGCGGGGGAUAACUACUGGAAACGGUAGCUAAUACCGCAUACCAUCAUAUGAACCCAUAUGGAUUAGCUGGUAGGUGAGGUAACGGCUUACCUAGGCGACGAUCCCUAGCUGGACUGAGAGGAUGAUCAGCCACACUGGGACUGAGACACGGCCCAGACUACUACGGGAGGCAGCAGUGGGGAAUAUUGCGCAAUGGGCACAAGCCUGAUGGAGCAAUGCCGCGUGUAUGAAGAAGGCCUUCGGGUUGUAAAGUACUUUCAGUAGGGAAGCGUUACCGAAAGAAGAAGCACCGGCUAACUCCGUGCCAGCAGCCGCGGUAAUAC
rnacentral:rRNA from 1 species